UACGGAGGGGGCUAGCGUUGUUCGGAAUUACUGGGCGUAAAGCGCACGUAGGCGGCUUUGCAAGUUAGAGGUGAAAGCCCGGGGCUCAACUCCGGAAUUGCCUUUAAAACUGCAUCGCUAGAAUUGUGGAGAGGUAAGUGGAAUUCCGAGUGUAGAGGUGAAAUUCGUAGAUAUUGGGAAGAACACCGGUGGCGAAGGCGGCGACCUGGUCCGAGACUGACGCUGAGGCGCGAAAGCGUGGGGAGCAAACAGG
rnacentral:rRNA from 1 species